ensembl:lncRNA
GUGAAAGGUGACUGUGUUAGAUGAAGGCUGAUACGGACGCCGCCAGCACCGAGAUGCUAUUUUGGGUUCAGUCUUAUUACAUCUGUGACAUUUGCAAUUAUAUGUGCAACGCUGUGUCAUUAUAAGCGGAGCUCUGAAGCGACGUUGGUGUUAUUUCUGUGGACUCAGGUGGUGCUGACUGUGACCUUAAUAACACUCCAGAGUCCUACUGCUGCUCAGCUCGGCUUCACAAACACCACAGCUGCUCAAAGCCAUUGUUGCUCCAGACUCCCGGGCCGGUUUGGCUUUAUCGCCUUCACUACAAGAUGUCAUGCAGGCGAAGGGAAGAAACUCAAACCCUCUUCAAAGUGAAAACUACAAAGGCAAAUGAUCAUAAACCAUGUGUGGACAAAUCUCACCGUCUAAACAGCUACCAUGUCCCCGGAUAAAUAAUAGAGGAGAGGAUCUGAGGACUGAAAAGUCAACAUUGGCCAUGAAGACACCCAGAGGGGAGGAAGCCCAGCGGCUCAAUCUCAC